ACCCGCUGAGUUUAAGCAUAUCA
rnacentral:snRNA from 1 species